GCCCAAAUGGUCUAAUGGUAUGAUUCGCCCUUUGGGUGGGUGAGGUUGCGUGUUCGAUUCGCGCUUUGGGCC
rnacentral:tRNA from 1 species